rnacentral:tRNA from 1 species
ACCUGGGUGGCUUGGUCGGUUAAGCACCUGACUCUUGAUUUGGGCUCAGGUCAUGGUCUCAGGAUUGUGGGAUCAAGUCCCACAUCGGGCU